rnacentral:rRNA from 1 species
UAGGGAAUCUUCGGCAAUGGACGAAAGUCUGACCGAGCAACGCCGCGUGAGUGAAGAAGGUUUUCGGAUCGUAAAACUCUGUUGGUAGAGAAGAACGUUGGUGAGAGUGGAAAGCUCAUCAAGUGACGGUAACUACCCAGAAAGGGACGGCUAACUACGUGCCAGCAGCCGCGGUAAUACGUAGGUCCCGAGCGUUGUCCGGAUUUAUUGGGCGUAAAGCGAGCGCAGGUGGUUUAUUAAGUCUGGUGUAAAAGGCAGUGGCUCAACCAUUGUAUGCAUUGGAAACUGGUAGACUUGAGUGCAGGAGAGGAGAGUGGAAUUCCAUGUGUAGCGGUGAAAUGCGUAGAUAUAUGGAGGAACGCCGGUGGCGAAAGCGGCUCUCUGGCCUGUAACUGACACUGAGGCUCGAAAGCGUGGGGAGCAAACAGGAUUAGAUAGCCCUGGUAGUCCAC